rnacentral:rRNA from 1 species
GGGAGUGCUCGCAAGAGAACCAGUACACAGGUGCUGCAUGGCUGUCGUCAGCUCGUGUCGUGAGAUGUUGGGUUAAGUCCCGCAACGAGCGCAACCCUUGUCAUUAGUUGCUACGAAAGGGCACUCUAAUGAGACUGCCGGUGACAAACCGGAGGAAGGUGGGGAUGACGUCAAGUCCUCAUGGCCCUUAUGGGUAGGGCUUCACACGUCAUACAAUGGUACAUACAGAGNGCCGCCAACCCGCGAGGGGGAGCUAAUCNCAGAAAGUGUAUCGUAGUCCGGAUUGUAGUCUGCAACUCGACUGCAUGAAGUUGGAAUCGCUAGUAAUCGCGGAUCAGCAUGUCGCGGUGAAUACGUUCCCGGGUCUUGUACACACCGCCCGUCACACCAUGGGAGCGGGUUUNACCAGAAGUAGGUAGCUUAACCGNAAGGAGGGCGCUUACCAC